UCUUCAAAACCAUUAGCUUCUGCUGUCCAAGCUCCUCUUCCCUCCCCAAAAUCUCACAUCUCUCCUGUCUAGGCUUAUCCUGAAUUCACUGUAUCAGUCAUCUUCUUAGAGGCAGCUUUCUGAUGACUUUCAUGAACACAGAGUAUCUGUCUUACCUCUGCUGGCUACUCUGUUCCUGAGAAAGAAGCAGCUUCUAAGCCAGCAUGGAGAAGGACACAAAGGGUCUGUAGGAGCACCUUGCACAAUGUGCCCAGCAGCUCUGCACCACCACAAAAGUGCACAUCCUGCCUACAAGUUUUGGUUCCAGAAUGGCUCCUAUGGAUCCAGGGUAACUUCCCAGGCCCUUAUGUAUGCUUCAGUUUCCCCCAGGCAUCUUGAAGGCAGUAGCUGCCUCUGUGUAGAAAACUGAAAGCAGCCCUGAAGGAUGACUUUAGGCAAAAGCUGACACUUCUGACAUAACCCCUAUCCAAGACCUCUUCCUUUAUGGGGCCUACCCAGUACUUAGGAAGAGUGGAACUCACAACCUGUAUGCAUAGCAGGUGCCUUCUUCUGGUCUAUCACUGACACUGGCAGAUGUGAGCCUAAAGGCACGUAUCCCAGUCAAGAGUCAAGGGAUGACCUGUUGGCUACUUCAGAAAGAGCUCAACUCACAAUCCACUUUACAAAUAUUCCCUUAGGAAUGGAUUAGGAAUUUCUGAAGCACCACCGACUUUGUGAUACAACACCUACAAAACACAUACUUUCUUUCAAAAUCAUUAGUUUCUGCUGCCCAAACUCCUCUUCCCGCCCCCAGAUCUCACAUCUCUCCUGGCCAGCCUUCUCCUAACCUCCCCAUAUCGGUCAUCUGUUUGGGAGCAGGAUUCUCAUGACAUUCAUGAUCUCAGGGUAUCUGUCUCACCUCUGCUGGCUACUCUGUUACUGAGAAAGAAGCAGCUCCUAAGCCAGCAUGGAGCACCCUGCACAAAGUGCCCAGCACCACCAUAGAAGUGUGCUGCCUACAAAUUUUGGUCCCCAAAUGGCUGCUUUGGAUCCAGGGUAACUUUUUCCCAGGCCCUUACACAUGGUUCAUUUUCCCCCAGGCAUCUUGGCAGUGGCUCCCUCUGUACAGAAAACUGAAAACAGCCCUGAAGGAUGACUUCAGGCAAAUGCUGACACCUCUGACAUGACAACCCCGAUCCAAGACCUCUUCCUCUUUGGGGCCUACCAGGUACAUUCAGAGAGAUGAGCUUAAUGGCACUGCUCCCAGCCAGGAGUCAAGCGAUGACCUGUCAGCUACUUCAGAAAGAAGUCACUUCACACGCCAUUAAACAGCCAUUUGCUUCCAACUAGAUUAGAAAUUUCUGAGGCACGACUGACCCCUUAUUAACAUACCUACAAAACAUUCUCUUUUUGGCCCUGGACCUGCCCAGGCAGUGAUCUGGUUGUGACUCUUCCAGCCCAAGGCACUGCUGCUCAACUCCCAGCCUCUCUGAUGCAUGGGAGCCAGUUCUGUACCAGUCCAGUCAGGUGCUAGGCCAGGAGGGACCUUGCAGGCAAUCUUCAAGGCCCGUGCCUGUUGGCGGUCUCUCAGCUCCUUGUGCACAGCGAAGAUAACGCUCAAAUCCAGAAGCCAUGUGCCUGAAGCUGGCCUAGAACACACUCAGGGAAGGGCCCUCCCAGCCCCAGCCCCAGCCCCAGCCCCAGCCCCAGCUGGCGGUGCUGCUCUGCGGAGUGAGGGGGCUGUGGUGCCCAGGGCACAGGGACACUCUGCAGGGCCAUGCUGGGCAGGCUGGGAGGCAGACCCAGCUCAUGGGGUCACUGCCAUUGCCCCAGGGCCGCAAGGAAUCACGCGCCAGACUCCUUUGCUGGGGCUGUGUUGUGGUUUAACGUGGCCAGCAGGUAAGCACCACACAGCUUUUUGCUCACCCUCCCUCCUCCCUCUCUGGAAUGGGGGAAAGAAAUGAGAAAGUGAAUCCUGUGGGUUGAGAUAGAGACAGUUUAUUAAGGAAGGAAAGGGGAGGGGAGGGGAGGGGAGGGGAGAUAUCAUAACUUGUGGAAACAGACAGCUUUCCAUCCGCUAGCCUUCUGUGACUCUGUACUGCAAUUCCGUUCAACUGGUUACUCCUUUAUUAUCCAAACUCUCCUGCAACUCCUGAUACUGCUAACUUGUCACAGAUAGCACAAUCACACGAAGGUUGAAACGUCUGCCUGCAGACAUGAAAGGCUGACAGAAUGGAGCAUCUGACAGAAUGGCUGACAGAAUGGAGAAUUGAUGAACAGCAUGACAUGGAAGACAGACAGUUAGUGAUGUGCUAUACAACACAAUUCUGAAAACAAGCACAACAGCCCCAAGAUCAAAAAGAUCAACAUUGUGAUCAGCAACUGUUAAAGCAACUGUUAAACUGAUCUAUUGCUUAUAACAAUUUACUUUUAAAAUGCUCUGGUCCGAUUUGUCAUCUCAACCUUUGUGCUCCAUGCUAGGCACCAAAAAGACUUGCAGUGGUUUGACCCAGGAGGCAGCUCAGCACUACAGAUCUAUUUAUCCAAUGCAAUGAAGGAGAGAACUGGGAGAAAAAAAAAAAAAAAAAAGAAAAA